rnacentral:misc_RNA from 1 species
GGGGGGGGAGGGGGUUGGGUGUAUGUUUGUUGGUGCAUCUGUUGUGUUAAAUGCAUCUAUUACGCACCUAUGGCUUUCAGAGUCUCUCAACAAACACACUCAACUACGAGUUACUUAAACAGGAUUGCCAUGCAUCCAUAUCUACAACUUAGAAUCAGAUUUUACCUUGUAAAAUUGAUAUUUCAAUUUGAUUAAAUUUUGAGAAACUGUUUACCAGUGCGUUAAAGUAAGCAUCCCUCAGAAAUCUGCGCAAAAAGGGUUAGUGAAUACAAACCCAACUUGAAGCCUGUGUUGGGAACACCGUAAAAUUAAAAAAAAAAAAAAAANNNNNNNNNNNNNUCCCCAUCCAAAAGCUAAGAGUCUGUCCAUAAUUGAGAAGUUCAUAAUCAAUGAAGUCAAUUUUCAAAAGAUAUGCUCAUAUAUCCAGAAAGAUUUAAGUCGCCACCAUGCAGGCCAGAAGAGUAAUUGGUAUAACGACCUCACUGG